rnacentral:rRNA from 1 species
UACGUAGGGGGCAAGCGUUGUCCGGAAUCAUUGGGCGUAAAGCGCGUGUAGGCGGCUUGGUAAGUCUGCUCUGAAAGCCCGGGGCUCAACCCCGGGAGGCGGGUGGAUACUGUCAAGCUCGAGUCCGGAAGAGGAGUGUGGAAUUCCUGGUGUAGCGGUGAAAUGCGCAGAUAUCGGGAGGAACACCGGUGGCGAAGGCGGUUCUCUGGGCCUUACCUGACGCUGAGGCGCGAAAGCUAGGGUAGCAAACGGG